UACGUAGGCAGCAAGCGUUGUUCGGAGUUACUGGGCGUAAAGGGCGCGUAGGCGGCCAUUCAAGUCGGGGGUGAAAGCCUGUGGCUCAACCACAGAAUUGCCUUCGAUACUGUUUGGCUUGAGUAUGGUAGAGGUUGGUGGAACUGCGAGUGUAGAGGUGAAAUUCGUAGAUAUUCGCAAGGAACACCGGUGGCGAAGGCGGCCAACUGGACCAUUACUGACGCUGAGGCGCGAAAGCGUGGGGAGCAAACAGG
rnacentral:rRNA from 1 species